rnacentral:rRNA from 1 species
UACGAAGGGGGCUAGCGUUGUCCGGAUUUAUUGGGCGUAAAGAGCGUGUAGGCGGCCUGAAAGGUCAGCUGUGAAAACUCGAGGCUCAACCUCGAGACGUCGGUUGAAACCAUCUGGCUAGAGUCCGGAAGAGGAGUGUGGAAUUCCCGGUGUAGCGGUGAAAUGCGCAGAUAUCGGGAAGAACACCCGUGGCGAAGGCGGCACUCUGGGACGGUACUGACGCUGAGACGCGAAAGCGUGGGGAGCGAACAGG